rnacentral:rRNA from 1 species
AGAGUGAACGCUGGCGGUAGGCCUAACACAUGCAAGUCGAACGGCAGCACAGUGGUAGCAAUACCAUGGGUGGCGAGUGGCGGACGGGUGAGGAAUACAUCGGAAUCUACCUUUUCGUGGGGGAUAACGUAGGGAAACUUACGCUAAUACCGCAUACGCCCUUCGGGGGAAAGCCGGGGAUCGCAAGACCUGGCGCGGAUAGAUGAGCCGAUGUCGGAUUAGCUAGUUGGUGAGGUAAUGGCUCACCAAGGCGACGAUCCGUAGCUGGUCUGAGAGGAUGAUCAGCCACACUGGAACUGAGACACGGUCCAGACUCCUACGGGAGCAGCAGUAGGGAAUAUUGGACAAGUGGGCGCAAGCCUAGAUCCAGCCAUCGCCGCGUGUGUAGAAGGAACGGCCUUUACGGGUUAGUAAAGUCC